ACGUGUAAAGUUCACAAGAAAGUCGUUCCAGUGUAUCAAAUCUAUCCUGUUUGCCAGUUUCAUGAUCAUCCUGAACCGCUGUUUCCCUAUCUUCAUGGUGCUGGCAUGGAUCUACUCUGUCUCCAUGACUGUGAAGAGCAUCGUCUUGGAGAAGGAGUUGCGACUGAAGGAGACCUUGAAAAAUCAGGGUGUCUCCAAUGCAGUGAUUUGGUGUACCUGGUUCCUGGACAGCUUCUCCAUCAUGUCGAUGAGCAUCUUCCUCCUGACGAUAUUCAUCAUGGAAGUGCUGUACCACACUAGGCAGUGUGUGUAGUGACCACAGACUGGCUGAGUGUCUCCCAUCCCAUGCUGGCCCAUAUCUGGUACCCACCUGAUCCACAAAUGUUCCAUCAGAUCCUGUUCAAACAACACAUCUCCAGUUAAGCCAAAUCUUGCCCUUUCUCCUUACGGUAAAAUGUACUAAAUCUGAA
rnacentral:lncRNA from 1 species